UGCAUGCGUGCGACCUCCUU
rnacentral:miRNA from 1 species